GACGAACGCUGGCGGCGUGCUUAACACAUGCAAGUCGAACGGAAAGGCCCUGCUUUUGUGGGGUGCUCGAGUGGCGAACGGGUGAGUAACACGUGAGUAACCUGCCCUUGACUUUGGGAAAACUUCAGGAAACUGGGGCUAAUACCGGAUAGGAGCUCCUGCUGCAUGGUGGGGGUUGGAAAGUUUCGGCGGUUGGGGAUGGACUCGCGGCUUAUCAGCUUGUUGGUGGGGUAGUGGCUUACCAAGGCUUUGACGGGUAGCCGGCCUGAGAGGGUGACCGGCCACAUGGGGACUGAGAUACGGCCCAGACUCCUACGGGAGGCAGCAGUGGGGAAUAUUGCACAAUGGGCGGAAGCCUGAUGCAGCAACGCCGCGUGCGGGAUGACGGCCUUCGGGUUGUAAACCGCUUUCGCCUGUGACGAAGCGUGAGUGACGGUAAUGGGUAAAGAAGCACCGGCUAACUACGUG
rnacentral:rRNA from 1 species